rnacentral:rRNA from 1 species
UACGUAGGCAGCAAGCGUUGUUCGGAAUUACUGGGCGUAAAGAGUGUGUAGGCGGUGCUCCAAGUCUGGUGUGAAAUCUCCCGGCUUAACUGGGAGGGUGCAUUAGAAACUGGAAUGCUAGAGGAUGGGAGAGGUAAGCGGAAUUCCUGGUGUAGCGGUGAAAUGCGUAGAUAUCAGGAGGAACACCUGUGGUGUAGACAGCUUACUGGACCAUUUCUGACGCUGAGACGCGAAAGCGUGGGGAGCGAACAGG